UACGUAGGGUGCGAGCGUUGUUCGGAAUCACUGGGCGUAAAGGGCGCGUAGGCGGCCGAUCAAGUCGGGGGUGAAAGCCUGUGGCUCAACCACAGAAUUGCCUUCGAUACUGUUUGGCUUGAGACCGGAAGAGGUUAGUGGAACUGCGAGUGUAGAGGUGAAAUUCGUAGAUAUUCGCAAGAACACCAGUGGCGAAGGCGGCUGACUGGUCCGGUUCUGACGCUGAGGCGCGAAAGCGUGGGGAGCAAACAGG
rnacentral:rRNA from 1 species